CUAGCCGACGAUGCUCGCGGCUCACCCAACCGCCCUUCACGUUGCUCGCCCAAUCUGCUUCUGUACAUACACCGUUGUCACAUUUCUCCAUUGCAUACAAGCUACGUAAGGCACCGAACUUAAACAAGUCCGUUCCAAACGGCCUUCUUGAAUAUAUGGAUGUGGGGAGUGCUUUUGAUAUGAAUGAGUGUAAUGGGGUGAAUAGCUUCUCAAACACGGAAGUAGAGCAGGCUUCUUAUGGAAUAUUUGUAUGUUUUGGCUGAUUAGUUCCAUUGUUUUACCCGCCUUGCAUGUUUAGGUGAUGGGACGAUCCUCACCAAAUGACAAGCUUCUGCUUGUGCAAGCUCUGAAGAAACAAGGACAUGUAGUUGCUGUUACUAGAGAUGGCACAAAUGAUGCUCCUGCUUUAAAUGAGGCACAUAUUGGCCUUGCAAUGGGUAUUCAAGGGACAGAAGUUGCUAAGGAGAGCUCUGAUAUCAUUAUUUUGGAUGAUAAUUUUGCCUCUGUUGUGAAGAUGAAGUCCUUGAAUUUAACCUAUCAUGGACACCAUGCGGUUGUCAGGUGGGGACGACCUGUGUAUGCAAAUAUCCAGAAAUUCAUCUAGUUUCAGCUUACAAUUACUUUUGCAACCAUUGGGAUAAAUGUGCAGUUUCCUCUGGCCAUGUUCCACUCAAUGCAGUGCAGCUUCUCUGGAUCAAUCUCAUCCAGGAACUUGUUGAGAGGCAGCUGGAUCUGAUAAAGGAGCUUUGCCUUUAGGCAUUGCUAAUGCUUCCACCAAUGCAAAUGUUGUAUCCUUGGAGGAAUUUAAAGAUGUGUUGCUUCAUCUUUUUUGAUUAAAGAUUUGGUUUGACUCGAUGAAAGCCUUCACGUAACUAAUACACACUGGGUCAUGGUGAUUUUUCUGCCACAAGUACAAAAGUAUUGCGCAUGGUGAAUACUCUUGCAGUUGAUAAUGAGGCAAAGCAAACCAUUCAAGGGGCAGGUCUCCUGCUUUCAAUGCACUAGCUGCUAAUUUUGAGAGCCCAAAUGCAAGAAAUGUCUCAACUCCACCACCAGUUGUCAGGAAAAACUUUCCAAACAGCGCAACUGGCUUCCAAAUCUUCAGCUAUAGCAGCUAUCAGUUCCACUUUUGAGCAAUCACCACCAAUACGAGAAGUCAUCAUACCCAAAUCUAUCAAAGUGAGUCCUGAGACCAAAACAGAAUUCAGAGCCUAAUAACAAAGAGAACUCAUGCUUGGUCGAAGUUUGUUGCUUGCAUAAGUGAUUUUCUUGUGUUUGUCACAACAAAAGUUGCUAAGUUGCCAUCCUUUUUAUGAUCUUGGCUUGAGCUGAUAUAGAAGCUUUGGUUUGUCUC